UGGGAAUUUUGGACAAUGGGCGAAAGCCUGAUCCAGCAAUGCCGCGUGUGUGAAGAAGGCCUUCGGGUUGUAAAGCACUUUUGUCCGGAAAGAAAUCCUUGGCUCUAAUACAGUCGGGGGAUGACGGUACCGGAAGAAUAAGCACCGGCUAACUACGUGCCAGCAGCCGCGGUAAUACGUAGGGUGCAAGCGUUAAUCGGAAUUACUGGGCGUAAAGCGUGCGCAGGCGGUUUGCUAAGACCGAUGUGAAAUCCCCGGGCUCAACCUGGGAACUGCAUUGGUGACUGGCAGGCUAGAGUAUGGCAGAGGGGGGUAGAACUCCACGUGUAGCAGUGAAAUGCGUAGAGAUGUGGAGGAAUACCGAUGGCGAAGGCAGCCCCCUGGGCCAAUACUGACGCUCAUGCACGAAAGCGUGGGGAGCAAACAGGAUUAGAUACCCUGGUAGUCCACGCCCUAAACGAUGUCAACUAGUUGUUGGGGAUUCAUUUCCUUAGUAACGUAGCUAACGCGUGAAGUUGACCGCCUGGGGAGUACGGUCGCAAGAUUAAAACUCAAAGGAAUUGACGGGGUCAUAGCUGUUUCCU
rnacentral:rRNA from 1 species